rnacentral:rRNA from 1 species
AAUGAACGCUGGCGGCAGGCCUAAUACAUGCAAGUCGAACGAGUGGCGGAGGGGAGUGAAAUGUCUGUGAAACUGCCUGAUGGAGGGGGUUAAUUACUGGAACCGGAAGCAAAUACCGCAUACCAUCGAAUGUUCACUGAAGGGAUUAUCUAGUAGGUGGGGUAAAGGCUAACCGAGGCGACGAUCCCUAGCUGGUCUGAGAGGAUGACCGGCCACACUGGAACUGAGACACGGUCCAGACUCCUACGGGAGGCAGCAGUGGGGAAUAUUGCACAAUGGGCGCAAGCCUGAUGCAGCCAUGCCGCGUGUAUGAAGAAGGCCUUCGGGUUGUAAAGUACUUUCAGCGGGGAGGCGUUACCCGCAGAAGAAGCACCGGCUAACUCCGUGCCAGCAGCCGCGGUAAUUC